rnacentral:piRNA from 1 species
AAUUUAAACAUCCCUACCCGAAAGCACAA